AUUGAACGCUGGCGGCAGGCUUAACACAUGCAAGUCGAGCGGGGAAGGGUAGCUUGCUACCUGACCUAGCGGCGGACGGGUGAGUAAUGCUUAGGAAUCUGCCUAUUAGUGGGGGACAACAUUCCGAAAGGAAUGCUAAUACCGCAUACGCCCUACGGGGGAAAGCAGGGGAUCUUCGGACCUUGCGCUAAUAGAUGAGCCUAAGUCAGAUUAGCUAGUUGGUGGGGUAAAGGCCUACCAAGGCGACGAUCUGUAGCGGGUCUGAGAGGAUGAUCCGCCACACUGGGACUGAGACACGGCCCAGACUCCUACGGGAGGCAGCAGUGGGGAAUUUUGGACAAUGGGCGAAAGCCUGAUCCAGCCAUGCCGCGUGCAGGAUGAAGGCCUUCGGGUUGUAAACUGCUUUUGUACGGAACGAAACGGCCUUUUCUAAUAAAGAGGGCUAAUGACGGUACCGUAAGAAUAAGCACCGGCUAACUACGUGCCAGCAGCCGCGGUAAUACGUAGGGUGCAAGCGUUAAUCGGAAUUACUGGGCGUAAAGCGUGCGCAGGCGGUUAUGUAAGACAGUUGUGAAAUCCCCGGGCUCAACCUGGGAACUGCAUCUGUGACUGCAUAGCUAGAGUACGGUAGAGGGGGAUGGAAUUCCGCGUGUAGCAGUGAAAUGCGUAGAUAUGCGGAGGAACACCGAUGGCGAAGGCAAUCCCCUGGACCUGUACUGACGCUCAUGCACGAAAGCGUGGGGAGCAAACAGG
rnacentral:rRNA from 1 species